GAUCAUUACUGAUUUGCUUAAUUGCACCACAUGUGUUUUUCUUUGAAACAAACUUGCUUUGGCGGUGGGCCCAGCCUGCCGCCAGAGGUCUAAACUUACAACCAAUUUUUUAUCAACUUGUCACACCAGAUUAUUACUAAUAGUCAAAACUUUCAACAACGGAUCUCUUGGUUCUCGCAUCGAUGAAGAACGCAGCGAAAUGCGAUACGUAAUAUGAAUUGCAGAUAUUCGUGAAUCAUCGAAUCUUUGAACGCACAUUGCGCCCUCUGGUAUUCCGGAGGGCAUGCCUGUUUGAGCGUCGUUUCUCCCUCAAACCGCUGGGUUUGGUGUUGAGCAAUACGACUUGGGUUUGCUUGAAAGACGGUAGUGGUAAGGCGGGAUCGCUUUGACAAUGGCUUAGGUCUAACCAAAAACAUUGCUUGCGGCGGUAACGUCCACCACGUAUAUCUUCAAACUUUGACCUCAAAUCAGG
rnacentral:misc_RNA from 1 species